AGAGUUUGAUCCUGGCUCAGGAUGAACGCUAGCUACAGGCUUAACACAUGCAAGUCGAGGGGAAACGAUAUUGGAAGCUUGCUUCCGAUAGGCGUCGACCGGCGCACGGGUGAGUAACGCGUAUCCAACCUGCCCAUCACUUGGGGAUAACCUUGCGAAAGUAAGACUAAUACCCAAUGACGUCUCUAGAAGACAUCUGAAGGAGAUUAAAGAUUUAUCGGUGAUGGAUGGGGAUGCGUCUGAUUAGCUUGUUGGCGGGGUAACGGCCCACCAAGGCAACGAUCAGUAGGGGUUCUGAGAGGAAGGUCCCCCACAUUGGAACUGAGACACGGUCCAAACUCCUACGGGAGGCAGCAGUGAGGAAUAUUGGUCAAUGGGCGAGAGCCUGAACCAGCCAAGUAGCGUGCAGGAAGACGGCCCUAUGGGUUGUAAACUGCUUUUAUAAGGGAAUAAAGUUAGUCUCGUGAGACUUUUUGCAUGUACCUUAUGAAUAAGGACCGGCUAAUUCCGUGCCAGCAGCCGCGGUAAUACGGAAGGUCCGGGCGUUAUCCGGAUUUAUUGGGUUUAAAGGGAGCGUAGGCCGGAGAUUAAGCGUGUUGUGAAAUGUAGACGCUCAACGUCUGCACUGCAGCGCGAACUGGUUUCCUUGAGUACGCACAAAGUGGGCGGAAUUCGUGGUGUAGCGGUGAAAUGCUUAGAUAUCACGAAGAACUCCGAUUGCGAAGGCAGCUCACUGGAGCGCAACUGACGCUGAGGCUCGAAAGUGCGGGUAUCGAACAGGAUUAGAUACCCUGGUAGUCCGCACGGUAAACGAUGGAUGCCCGCUGUUGGUCUGAACAGGUCAGCGGCCAAGCGAAAGCAUUAAGCAUCCCACCUGGGGAGUACGCCGGCAACGGUGAAACUCAAAGGAAUUGACGGGGGCCCGCACAAGCGGAGGAACAUGUGGUUUAAUUCGAUGAUACGCGAGGAACCUUACCCGGGCUUGAAUUGCAGAGGAAGGAUUUGGAGACAAUGACGCCCUUCGGGGUCUCUGUGAAGGUGCUGCAUGGUUGUCGUCAGCUCGUGCCGUGAGGUGUCGGCUUAAGUGCCAUAACGAGCGCAACCCCUCUCCUUAGUUGCCAUCAGGUUAAGCUGGGCACUCUGGGGACACUGCCACCGUAAGGUGUGAGGAAGGUGGGGAUGACGUCAAAUCAGCACGGCCCUUACGUCCGGGGCUACACAC
rnacentral:rRNA from 1 species